rnacentral:rRNA from 1 species
AAUAGAUACCCGGGUAGUCCACGCCGUAAACGGUGAGUGCUAAGUGUUAGAGGGUUUCCGCCCUUUAGUGCUGCAGCUAACGCAUUAAGCACUCCGCCUGGGGAGUACGGUCGCAAGACUGAAACUCAAGGGAAUUGACGGGGGCCCGCACAAGCGGUGGAGCAUGUGGUUUAAUUCGAAGCAACGCGAAGAACCUUACCAGGUCUUGACAUCCCACUGACCGGUAUAGAGAUAUACCUUUCCCUUCGGGGACAGUGGUGACAGGUGGUGCAUGGUUGUCGUCAGCUCGUGUCGUGAGAUGUUGGGUUAAGUCCCGCAACGAGCGCAACCCUUAAUCUUAGUUGCCAGCAUUUAGUUGGGCACUCUAAGGUGACUGCCGGUGACAAACCGGAGGAAGGUGGGGAUGACGUCAAAUCAUCAUGCCCCUUAUGACCUGGGCUACACACGUGCUACAAUGGAUGGUACAAAGGGCUGCGAGACUGCGAAGUCAAGCCAAUCCCAUAAAACCAUUCUCAGUUCGGAUUGCAGG